UUGACAACUUACCCUCAGGACGGGGACAACUACGGGAAACUGUGGCUAAUCCCCGAUAGACGGCGAUGCCUGGAAUGGUUCGUCGUCCAAAGUCAUCUCUGCAUGUAGAGUGCGCGCCUGAGGAUGGGUCAGCGGCUGAUUAGGUUGUUGGUGGGGUAACGGCCCACCAAGCCAGCGAUCAGUACCGGCCGUGAAAGCGGGAACCGGGAGAUGGGCACUGAGACAAAGGCCCAGGCCCUACGGGGCGCAGCAAUCGCGAAACCUCUGCAAUCCGGGCAACCGGGACAGGGUUAUCCCUAGUGCCAUGCUAUCGCGUGGCUUUUGCCGACAGUAGGAACGUCGGAGAAUAAGGGGAGGGCAAGGCUGGUGCCAGCCGCCGCGGUAAAACCAGCUCCUCAAGUGGUCGGGAUGUUUAUUGGGCCUAAAGCAUUCGUAGCCGGCCCUGCAAGUUCUUGGUCAAAUCCAACCGCUCAACGGUUGGGCUGCUGAGAAUACUACAGGGCUUGGGAGCGGGAGAGGCCGAGGGUACUCCUAGGGUAGGGGUGAAAUCCUGUGAUCCUAGGGGACCACCAGUGGCGAAAGCGCUCGGCUGGGAACGCGUCCGACGGUGAUGGAUGAAAGCCAGGGGA
rnacentral:rRNA from 1 species